rnacentral:rRNA from 1 species
AUGGAAGAAACUUCUAUGCAUCAAGACCAAUCGCCGAUAGAGCAAGUACGGCUGACUGUACCAACAACAGAUGAUCCAACACUCCCUACGUUGACAUUGAGAGUAUGGAUCAUCGGAAUCACAGGCUGCAUCAUCAUGUCUUUAGUCAGUGUAAUGACUGGUUUUCGUCAGAACCCAGUUGGUGUCCCAAAUUUCGUAGUUACAAUAUUGUGCUACUCUCUCGGAAAGUUCAUGGCAUCGGUGCUUCCAUCCAAUCUAAGGGUUCGAGGAACCAGAAUUAAGAUUUCUAUAAACCCAGGUCCCUUCAACAUAAAGGAACAUCUACUGAGUACGGUGAUCUUCAGUUCUGGUUUAGGAACCAUGCCAGCAGCAAAUCUUUAUGCUGCCACAAGGGCCUAUUUCAGGAUAUCAAUUCACCCAAUGGCAUUCUUCUUUCUCCUACUCACGACAAAUAGUAUUAUAUAUGGAUUUGCUGGCUUCUUCAUAAAGCCCUUUGUGAAUCGCUCAGAGAUGUGGUGGCCUGAAGUACUACCAGACGUAACAAUGUUCAGGGCAUUUCAUGAGAAGGAUGAAAAAUCGAAUGCAAAGCUAUCAAGAAGCCAAUUUUUCUUCAUGGUUUUUGUCAUUAGUUUUUCGUACUACAUCAUUCCGGGCUACUUCUUCCCUUCUAUUAGUGCAGUGUCAGUUGUCUGUCUAAUUUGGAAAAGAUCUAUCAUUGCUCAGCAACUUGGCUCGGGAUUAAAUGGUUUUGGGAUUGGUUCAUUUGGCCUUGAUUGGUCAACAUCUACCAGCUACACUAGAAACCCUAUAUAUUACCCUUUCUUUGUCAUUGUCAACACAAUGGUUGGAUUUAUUAUAUUCAUGUAUAUUGUUGUCCCUUUUGCUUACUGGACAAAUUCAUUUAAGGCAAAGAGUUUUCCAAUUAUCAGCCCAGAAGUGUACGACGUGUACGGUGGUAGAUAUAACUUGUCCAGGGUAUUGGACGGAAGUAGUUUUCAAUUUAAGCAAGAUGGGUAUGAAAGUUAUUCAGAAUUGUACCUGAGUAUUGCACGAGCAUGCUCUAUUGGAUUUGGAUUUGCAGCUCUAGCAUCAUCUCUUACAAACAUUGUACUCUCUCAUGGCAGGUCAUUUUGGAAUCAAUUAAGCCAAUCAACUGAGCGCAGAGGUUGCUCUGAUAUUCAUAUGCAAAUGAUGAAUAAGUAUAGAAGCAUUCCAAUGUGGUGGUUUAUUCGUCUUACAAUAUCAAUGAUAGGUCUGGCAGUGUUCACGUGCGAAGGAUUUGGAAAUGAACUUCAACUUCCUUACUGGGGAGUCUUGCUUGCGUGCUUGCUUGUACUUACGUUGGUACCCCCAUUAGCAGCACUUCGUGCCACCGCCUGCCAGCAACCGCCAUUGAGUUUGUUUGCACAUAUCAUCAUUGGAUACUUUUAUCCUGGACGACCAUUGGCCAAUAUGGUUUUUAAUUUGUACAGCACAUGGUGUAUUGAAUAUACUCUAGGAACUCUUGCAAGCUUUAAGCUUGGAAUUUACAUGAAAAUUCCCCCAAGAGAAUUGUUCUUCGCUCAGGUCAUUGGUACGUUCCUAGCAACCACCUCAGACUUUGUAGUGACAUGGUGGUUAUUUUCCACUGUCAAAGAUUUGUGCCGCACGGAGCUAUUGCCCAGAGGAAGUCCAUGGACAUGCCCCAGUACCAGAAUGAUUUACAACGAAAUGGUUGUUUGGGGUCUUAUUGGCCCGAGGCAAAUGUUCUUUAAAGGUGUGUACUCAAAGUUGGUUUAUUUCUUCUUGAUCGGCAAUAUUGCGCCAAUACCUGUCUGGAUCCUUGCUCGUCGGUUCCCCGAAAAGAAGUGGAUCAAGCUCAUCCUCGUGCCAGUUCUCUUCAUGCCAGGGGCCAAAAUGCCUCCAGCUAGAGCAGUUAACUACAUAUGUUGGUUCGUGUUGGGAUUCAUUUUUAACUACAUCAUCUUCCGGAGAUGGGAAAGAGUUGUGGGCAAGGUACAGCUUACUCUUCUCCGUCGCCAUGGACACCGGCAUUGCUGCAAUGGCAUUAUUGACGAUGUUGGUUCUUCAGAUGCGAGGCAUCAAUGGCGUCAACUGGUGGGGUUCAUCUGUCUCUGA